rnacentral:rRNA from 1 species
AUUGAACGCUGGCGGCAUGCCUUACACAUGCAAGUCGAACGGCAGCGGGGGAGAAGCUUGCUUUUCCUGCCGGCGAGUGGCGAACGGGUGAGUAAUACAUCGGAACGUGCCCCGUAGUGGGGGAUAACUAGUCGAAAGAUUAGCUAAUACCGCAUACGACCUGAGGGUGAAAGUGGGGGACCGCAAGGCCUCAUGCUAUAGGAGCGGCCGAUGUCUGAUUAGCUAGUUGGUGGGGUAAAGGCCUACCAAGGCGACGAUCAGUAGCUGGUCUGAGAGGACGAUCAGCCACACUGGGACUGAGACACGGCCCAGACUCCUACGGGAGGCAGCAGUGGGGAAUUUUGGACAAUGGGCGAAAGCCUGAUCCAGCAAUGCCGCGUGUGUGAAGAAGGCCUUCGGGUUGUAAAGCACUUUUAUCCGGAAAGAAAUGGCUCUGGUUAAUACCUGGGGUCGAUGACGGUACCGGAAGAAUAAGCACCGGCUAACUACGUGCCAGCAGCCGCGGUAA